rnacentral:lncRNA from 1 species
GGAUUUAAGGUUAUGAUCUAGGUGAGGUAUGCAUGUGUGUGUGUGUGUGUGUCUGUGUGUCUGUGUGUGUCUGUGUGUCUGUGUGUGUAACAUCAAGUCCUUGGACUUAGGUCCCACCCUCUAUCCAGGAUGAUCUCAUCCCAAGUUCCUUAAUUUCAUUACAUCUGCACAUAAGCUCAGUAUAUUUGUUAAUUCAGACAGCUUUAACAAAACUGGAUGGAUUAUAAACAACAAAAAAUUUAUUUCUCACUAUUCUGGAGGCUGAAAGUCCAAGAUCAAGGUGCCAGCACUGUCAGAUUCUGGAGUGAGUUCCAGACUGACAUCCUGGGUUGUGUUCUCACAUGGCGGAAAUAGGGCCAGAGAGACUCUUACAAGGCACUAAUCCUAUUUGCGAGGGCCCCACCCUGAUGACCUAAUCUCCUCCCAAAGGCCCCCUCCUUUAAUUACCAUCACAUUUGGGGGGGGUGUAGGAUUUCAGCUUAUAAAUUUGGGGGAGGACACAAGCAUUUAGUCACUAACUGUCAUGUUCACAGGAACUGACGGUUGGAUAUAUCUUUUUGAGGAACACUAUUGGAGCUACUAUAUAAAGAAUGGAUUAAAACAUGAUUAAAAGUCUAAUUUAAAUGUGUCACUUAUCCACGGGCUGCCUGCCUUUUCCCUGUUAAAUAAGCCAAAGGGGAAAGAAUGUAGAAGGAGAGGGCUUUUGUUGAAGCCUUGACCUCGCUUCACUGAGUGUAAGCCUUGGCAUCUGUACACUCAUCAGGGGCAAAAACCAGCUUCACCUGAGAAAGGUUGUUGACGGUCACUUCUGUUCACAACACAGCAAAUGAAACAACCUGUGCAAACCGGCCACCAAUGUGCAAACACGUUUACUCUCUCUGUUGUUUUAUGCUGUAAUGUUUUUUGAAAUCUGCCUUUAAAUGGAGUCAUUUUCUCUCAUAGCAUUUGCUUUCUGUCUGGAAACGGGUGCUCUCAUUUCAAGUCCUGAAGCUUUCUAGUUUUUUUUCUUUAACAAAAUUUCAUGUGGAUAUUGACUGGUGGUGCAUUUUGUUCUGCUGUUAAAGCUUUCCACUUCUUCUUUCUCCUUUUGGGAGGAGGGAAAGUGACAUUGGAUGUUAUCCUCACACUGCAAAGGAGAGCUGGCACCAACUUUUGGUCAUUCAUGAGGAUUUGUGAUUGAAGGGUUAACUGCCUGCCAUUUUAAAGCAUCAGGACUUUGCAAAUUCAGACUGAGGUCCAGGUAUCUGCCGACAGGGUUUACUGUUUCUUGUUUACUUGACACUCUGCACACUUUUUUUUCUAGAUUUUUUUCUUUGUUCCAUGAGUACCAGUUGGCUGCACUAUUCAGGUUCAGUUUAAUUUCAGUUUUAUUUUAUUAUUGAUCUGCAUUGUAUUUUUUUAUCUUUCUCAUUAGAUUUUAAACUCCUAAACUACAGAAACUACAUUACUCUUUUACUUCUUUUAUUCU